UGAGUUUGUGGAUGAGGUUCUCUGUCAGCCUGCAGCCCUCAGCCAGCUGCUCUCAGAUAUCCUGCCCCUGGGAGUUGUCAGGCUCAUCCGGAGUGAGGAGGGCCUGGAGAUGCUGAUUCAAUGAGCGGGAGGCAUCUCUCCCUUCCUGUAAUCUCUUCCUUAACCAGGCCAGCUCUCGUGCCUGAGAGUGAACUAGGACUUUAUAUUGCCUAAGCUCCUCAGCUUGCCCAAGCUGCUCUGCAAGCUUCUCGUCCUUGAAUUGCAGCUCAUCCCUCAGCAUAGAUUUUAUGAGGUCUU
rnacentral:lncRNA from 1 species